rnacentral:rRNA from 1 species
GCCUGCUCACUGAUAAUUUAAAGAGCCGCGGUAUUUUGACCGUGCAAAGGUAGCAUAAUCAUUAGUCUCUUAAUUAGGGGCUGGAAUGAAUGGCUUGACGAGAAAUUAACUGUCUCAUGAUAAAUUUUAGAAUUUAACUUUUGAGUUAAAAGGCUUAAAUUUUCCUUUAGGACGAGAAGACCCUAUAGAGCUUGACAUUUAAUUUAAAUAAAUUUUUUAGUUGAUUUUUAUUUAUUUAAUGAUGGUGUUUUGUUGGGGUGACAUGAAGAAUGAAUAAAMUCUUCAUUAUUAAAUCAUUGAUUUAUGUGUUAUUUGAUCCAUAAUUUWUGAUCAUAAGAUUAAGUUACCUUAGGGAUAACAGCGU